UAAAAUCAUAACCUAAUUUGAUGUUUAAUAGGCUUUUCCUUAAUGCCUCCUUAUUAUCCAACAUAUUCGCUUAUCCAACAUUCUGCUGGCCCGUUUAUGUUGGAUAAGUGAGACUCUACUGUAUAUACAUAUCUAUAUAUAUAUAAAAGAGUGAUGGCAUCACGGCGACCCACAAAACAACAAAACUACAGGCCCCCCAACCUCGAAAUUUGACAACACAACCCAUCAUCCAUGCCUCUAGGUUGAUACAACAAAAAGAAAAGAAAAAUAAAGUCCUAAUUAGAGAGAGAGGAAUAAUUGCUUUUAUCCAAUUGCUGCCAGUUAGAAGGCUAAGCUCCUCCAACUUGGUCUCCUAGCAACCAAAAAAAAUCAAUAAAAAACACUAAAAAAUUGAUACAAUAAAAUACUAUAAUAACAGAAAAUAACUAAAAAUAAUACAAGAAAAUAAUAAAAUAUAAUAAAUAAAAUAUAACUUACAAUAAAAUUAAUAAAAAAUGCAAAUAACGUCAAAUAAAAAUUACACAACAAUUUUUAAACAAUACCACCACCACUUUGCCACAGCAACGCGUGGCCGGGCACAGGUGGAUAUACAAUAUAAUAGUAUAAUAUAUAAUAUUAUAAUAUAUUGUAUAUGCAUAUAAUAUUAAUAAUAUUAUUUUGUAAUACAAUAUAAUACUAAUACAAUAGAAUAAUAUUAAUUAUAUAUUAUAUAUUACAUGUAAUAUUAUUAAUAAUAUUACAAUAUAUAGAUAUAUAUUUUUAUAUAGAUAUAGUACAAUAUGGUAAUUUAUUGCCAGUAUUGUGCUAUGCUAAUAAUAUAAUAUUGAAUGUAAAUUUACUUUGUAAGCCGCUCUGAGUCCCCUUCGGGGUGAGAAGGGUGGGAUAUAAAUGUAUCAAAUAAAUAAAUAAAUAAAUUUAUAUACAAGGCUUGUGGAUAUGGCCCUGGACUUUAAAAUACCCUUUCCUUAACCAGUUGUGCUUUCCCUGCAUGGAAAAAAAGGGGGUUGGACUAGAUGGCUUCUAGGGUCCCUUCAAUCGCUUUCUAAACCUCAUGACAGUCAGGAAAUCAUUUAGUAGGUCCUUAAGACCCUGAUUUAGAGUUUGCAUAAGUCAGAAAUGACUUGAAGGCACCCAAAAACAACACCACCACAUUUGUUUACCUUUAAGCACACCGAAGUCAUAUGCUUAGCUAUGCUUCCAAGGCUGCACACAAGGGGGCACCAGUGGCUUGUUUUCUAUAGAGAGCGCAUUGGAGACAGUCUGAUAAACAUAUAUCGAGCUGCCUCCAUAGUUUUUGCAAAUUGGAGUCAUUGCUGUUAUUCAUCCCCCUCAAAAAAAAUGACAUCCUGCUUCAUUGGAAGGGAUGCGAAGGAUGGUUUAGUGCAAAACUUCUCAACCAUAAUGGGUUGGGAUUAAAUAGGCAAAACGUCUUGGGGCUCGAGAUUUCCAAUUUCCAACUAAAGCUAUAAUUAUAUAUAUCUUUAUAUUGGUCGCACUUCUCCUGGUUACUUGAUAUUGGCUCAGGGCCCCCUCGUCCCAGAUUGACCUCUAACAAACUUGUAGCACUUUACGUUGGAUAAUCCAGAACGUUGGAUAAGCGGGUCUUGGAUAAGUGAGACUCUACUGUAAUUCUAUUCUGAAUUUUACUAGGUCCCUCUUAUCUGGGUAUUUUAAUCAAAUGAUUCUAUCUUUAUAUUGCUGCUGCAGUCCCCCCACCUAUGAAGUUUGACUGAAUUGUAUUGGUGGUUGUUUGAUAUUAUUACUGUUGUAUUAACUUUUGUUUUAACUUUUAUUACCUUAUUGUGUUUAAACCUGUGUAUAUUGUGCUAAUGUAUUUGUGUUGCUACUCUUGUAACAAUAUGAGCCGCCCCGAGUUCCCGGGGGAGAUGGCGGCAGAGUAUAAAUAAAGUUUUAUUUUUAUUUUAUUAUGUCACAGCAAACAAGAUAGAUAUGCUGGAAUUCGUAUCACAAAAUCACAAGUCGAACACUUCCCAAGUGUCUAGGACUGUGUGAUGUAUUUUCGGAUGUUGCGUGCAGAUCCCAGUAGGGUGGCCUUUUGCAAUUGACAGAUCGUAAUUUUGUCAAUGUCUAUUGUUUCCAAAUGCCGGCUGAGAUCUUUUGGCACAGCACCCAGUGUGCCCAUCACCACCAGGACCACCUGCACUGGUUUCUGCCAGAGUCUUUGAAGUUCAAUCUUGAGGUCCUGAGAGCGGCUGAGUUUUUCCUGUUGUUUUUUGUUAAUGCGACUGUCACCUGGGAUGGCGACAUCAAUGAUCCAAACCUUUUUCUUUUCCACAACUGUGAUGUCUGCUGUGUUGUGUUCCAGAACUUUGUCAGUCUGGAUUCGGAAGUCCUACAGUAUCUUUGCGUGCUCAUUCUUCAAUACUUUUGCAGCAGCUGAGGAUGUGAUCAAUGGUUUCGUCGGUUUCCUUGCACAGUCUGCAUUUUGGGUCAUCAGCUGAUUUUUCGAUCUUGGCCUUAAUUGCAUUUGUUCUGAUGGCUUGCUCCUGGGCUGCAAGGAUCAGGCCUUCUGUCUCCUUCUUCAGGGUCCCAUUCGUGAGCCAGAGCCAGGUCUUCUCCUUAUCAGCUUUUCCUUCAAUUUUGUCAAGGAACUUUCCAUGCAAUGUUUUGUUGUGCCAGCUGUCAGCUCUAGUUUGUAGUGCGGUUUUCUUGUACUGAUUCUUUGCUGUGCUUUGAGGAGUUUCUGAUUUUUGACUUCAAUCAAAGCAGGUUCUUCACUUUGCUUUCCAUAUUCUGCCAGGGCAUGUCCUUCUUCUUUGACUGCUUGUUUUACUUGUAAGAGUCCUCUGCCCCCUGAUCUUCUAGGCAGUUCUAGCCGGUCAACAUCACUGUGAGGGUGCAGUGAAUGAUGAAUGGUCAUGAGUGUGAUGUAUUUUCAGAUGAUGAACGCAGAUCCCAUUAUUAUUAUUAUUAUUAUUAUUGCUGUUGUUAUUAUUUUUUGUAUCCCAUACCAACAUUAAAAUAGCAACAUUAAACCUU